rnacentral:ncRNA from 1 species
AAAGUUUUAUUCUUGCUUAUGGAUUUACUUUAAGUUUAUUUUACAUGUAAGUUUGUGCGUGUUUUAUAUUUGAUCUAAAUGAUUGGAUUUUAUGGGAUUUAUUCGCAGUAUUUAAUUUUAUUAAUCAAGGUCACUUGGAAUUAGUGAAUUUUAUAGUGCCGGUAAAAAUCGUGCCAGCCACCGCGGUUAGACGAGGGGCACAAGUAAAUGUUUUUAGUGUAGUAGUUAAAAUGUUUAGAUAUUUAUGGAAGGUAUGUUUAAACUUAUUGGGUGAAAUUUUAAGUUUAAUUAAUUUCUUUUAAUGUUUUUGAAGCUAUGAAAUUUAAAUUUUAAACUAGGAUUAGAUACCCUAUUAUUUUAAAUGUUAAGUGUUAAUACUUGAGUAGUAGUAGUUAUGAGCUUGAAACUCAAAGAAUUUGGCGGUGUUUUAGUCCUUUCAGAGGAACCUGUCCCAUAAUCGAUAGUCCACGUUAUACCUUACUUAAUUUUGUAUUCAGCUUGUAUACCUCCGUCCUCAGAAUAUCCUAUUAGGGUUUAUGAAUGUUCUUGAUUCUUUAUGAAGGGAUUAUGUCAGGUCAAGGUGCAGUUUAUGGUUAAGUGGAGAUGGGUUACAAUAAAUUUAUUUAUACGGAAAUUGACUUGAAAUUUAGUUAAUUUAAGGUGGAUUUGAAGGUAAUUUUAUUAAUUAUAUUAUAUUGAUUUUGGCUCUAAAACAUGCACACAUCGCCCGUCGCUCUCGUUAAUUAAGAUGAGAUAAGUCGUAACAAAGUAGGUGUACCGGAAGGUGCACCUGGAAAGUU